UGGGGAAUAUUGGGCAAUGGACGCAAGUCUGACCCAGCAACGCCGCGUGAAGGAAGAAGGCUUUCGGGUUGUAAACUUCUUUUGUCAGGGAAGAGUAGAAGACGGUACCUGACGAAUAAGCCACGGCUAACUACGUGCCAGCAGCCGCGGUAAUACGUAGGUGGCAAGCGUUGUCCGGAUUUACUGGGUGUAAAGGGCGUGUAGCCGGGUCGGUAAGUCAGAUGUGAAAUCCACGAGCUCAACUCGUGAACUGCAUUUGAAACUGCUGAUCUUGAGUGUCGGAGAGGUAAUCGGAAUUCCUAGUGUAGCGGUGAAAUGCGUAGAUAUUAGGAAGAACACCAGUGGCGAAGGCGGAUUACUGGACGAUAACUGACGGUGAGGCGCGAAAGCGUGGGGAGCAAACAGG
rnacentral:rRNA from 2 species